CACGUAGGGUGCGAGCGUUGUUCGGAAUUACUGGGCGUAAAGGGCGCGUAGGUGGCCUGUUAAGUCGAACGUGAAAUCCCCGGGCUCAACCCGGGAACUGCGUCCGAGACUGGCAGGCUCGAAUCCGGGAGAGGGAUGUGGAAUUCCAGGUGUAGCGGUGAAAUGCGUAGAUAUCUGGAAUACCGGAGGCGAAGGCGGCUCACUGGGGGUUUUCUGACGCUGAGGAACGAAAGCCAGGGGAGCGAACGGG
rnacentral:rRNA from 1 species